GUAGGGAAUAUUGCGCAAUGGGGGAAACCCUGACGCAGCAACGCCGCGUGGAGGAUGACACUUUUCGGAGCGUAAACUCCUUUUGUUGGGGAAGAAUAAUGACGGUACCUAACGAAUAAGCACCGGCUAACUCCGUGCCAGCAGCCGCGGUAAUACGGAGGGUGCAAGCGUUACUCGGAAUCACUGGGCGUAAAGGACGCGUAGGCGGAUUAUCAAGUCUCUUGUGAAAUCUAACGGCUUAACCGUUAAACUGCUUGGGAAACUGAUAAUCUAGAGUAAGGGAGAGGCAGAUGGAAUUCUUGGUGUAGGGGUAAAAUCCGUAGAUAUCAAGAAGAAUACCUAUUGCGAAGGCGAUCUGCUGGAACUUAACUGACGCUAAUGCGUGAAAGCGUGGGGAGCAAACAGGAUUAGAAACCCCGGUAGUCC
rnacentral:rRNA from 1 species